rnacentral:rRNA from 1 species
AGAAGCUUGCUUCUCGCUGACGAGCGGCGGACGGGUGAGUAAUGCGUAGGAAUCUACCCUUUUGUGGGGGAUAGCCCGGAGAAAUCCGGAUUAAUACCGCAUAAGCUCUUCGGAGGAAAGUGGGGGAUCUUCGGACCUCACGCUGAAGGAUGAGCCUACGUUGGAUUAGCUUGUUGGUGGGGUAAAGGCCUACCAAGGCGACGAUCCAUAGCUGGUCUGAGAGGAUGAUCAGCCACACCGGGACUGAGACACGGCCCGGACUCCUACGGGAGGCAGCAGUGGGGAAUAUUGGACAAUGGGCGCAAGCCUGAUCCAGCCAUGCCGCGUGUGUGAAGAAGGCUCUAGGGUUGUAAAGCACUUUAAGCAGGGAAGAAACGCUGUUGGUUAAUAACCAUCAGUACUGACGGUACCUGCAGAAUAAGCACCGGCUAACUCCGUGCCAGCAGCCGCGGUAAUACGGAGGGUGCAAGCGUUAAUCGGAUUUACUGGGCGUAAAGCGUGCGUAGGCGGCUACGUAAGUCAGUUGUGAAAGCCCCGGGCUUAACCUGGGAACUGCAAUUGAUACUGCGUGGCUAGAAUUCGGUAGAGGAAGGUGGAACUCCAGGUGUAGCGGUGAAAUGCGUAGAUAUCUGGAAGAACAUCAAUGGCGA